GAGGGAUAACACGUCUGGACUACAAGCAGGGGUGAAAAUUUAAGGACAUAGAAAAUGAUGCAUCAAUAAAUAGUUAUGGAGAGUGUGCUAGGAGAGCUGGGUUGAUGGUGUGCCUGGGGCAGCGUCAGCACUACAUGGAUGCUUGCUGCAUGGUGGUGCUGACAGCCUGAGUGUCCCAGGAACUGUGACACUCCCAUCAGUCUUUGUAGAUUAGAAACAUUAACCCUGGCAUCCUCCCCAGUGCUUUCCCUGGGAUGUUCAAAGAGGAGGCUCCAUCAUUCGACUGCGGUCACUGACAUCCAUGCCGGAGAAGCCUGACAAAGCUGAUGCCAUCUUUGUCACCAUGAGAAAGAGUCAGUACCAAGAAAAGAAGCCAGAGAGGAGGAGGAAGAAGAACCAGU